rnacentral:rRNA from 1 species
GGGGUCCUACGGGACGCAGCAGUGAGGAAUAUUGGUCAAUGGGCGGAAGCCUGAACCAGCCAAGUCGCGUGAGGGAAUAAGGCCCUACGGGUCGUAAACCUCUUUUGCCGGGGAGCAAGGGCCGGGACGCGUCCCGGCCCGGAGGGUACCCGGAGAAAAAGCAUCGGCUAACUCCGUGCCAGCAGCCGCGGUAAUACGGAGGAUGCGAGCGUUAUCCGGAUUUAUUGGGUUUAAAGGGUGCGUAGGCGGGCUUUUAAGUCAGCGGUAAAAAUUCGGGG